UAAAUAUAGAUCCAAACCAAAGACCGUAGGUGACAUUAGUCUUAAAUAUCCUACCGAGGUUGGAAGAAGGUAUUCACUAACCUCAGAUAGUUAGAUUAUGAGCCUCCGUUCCUACCUUGGAGCGGAGGUAAUUUU
rnacentral:sRNA from 1 species